rnacentral:rRNA from 1 species
GACGAACGCUGGCGGCGGGCUUAACACAUGCAAGUCGAACGGAAAGGCCCUGCUUUUGUGGGGUUCUCGAGUGGCGAACGGGUGAGUAACACGUGAGUAACCUGCCCUUGACUGUGGGAUAACUUCUGGAAACUGCGGCUAAUACCGGAUAGGAGCUCCUGCUGCACGGUGGGGGUUGGAAAGUUUCGGCGGUUGGGGAUGGACGCGCGGCUUAUCAGCUUGUUGGUGGGGUAGUGGCUUACCAAGGCUUUGACGGGUAGCCGGCAUGAGAGGGUGACCGGCCACAUUGGGCCUGAGAUAGGGAGCAGAGGGCUACGGGAGGCAGCAGGGGGAAAUAUUGCACAGCGGGCGGAAGCGUGUUGCAGCAGCGCCGCGUGCGGGAUGACGGCCUUCGGGUUGUAAACCGCUUUCGCCUGUGACGAAGCGUGAGUGACGGUAAUGGGUAAAGAAGCACCGGCUAACUACGUG